AUUGAACGCUGGCGGCAGGCCUAACACAUGCAAGUCGAACGAGUGGCGGACGGGUGAGUAAUGUCGGGGAAACUGUCCGAUGGUGGGGGAUAACUACUGGAAACGGUAGCUAAUACAGCAUACCAUCGGAUGUGCCCAGUUGGGAUUAGCUCGUAGGUGGGGUAACGGCUCAACUAGGCGACGGUCCCUAGCUGGUCUGAGAGGAUGACCAGCCACACUGGAACGUAGCAACGUUCCAGACUCCUACGGGGGGCAGCAGUGGGGAAUAUUGCACAAUGGGGGCAAGCCUGAUGCAGCCAUGCCGCGUGUAUGAAGGAGGCCUUCGGGGUGUAAAGUACUUUCAGCGAGGAGGCGUUACGCGCAGAAGAAGCACCGGCUAACGCCGUACCAGCCGCCGCGAUAAUAC
rnacentral:rRNA from 1 species